ACCUAUGUAACUUAAAAAUAUUGUAUCCUUUCUAUUUUUUAUGUAAAAUGAACGUUUUAUAGUUUAUAGACGAAAUGAAAUGUAACAGCUCUGUGAAAUUUAGUUCCAAAUGGUGAGAAAUAAUCUAUAACAUUUAAUCUUAAAGUUAAAACAAUGUAAAUAAGGUAAAUGAUUUUUGUUUCGAGAUGCAAAAAAUCGUUUUAUUCAAAAGUACUAAAGUACGACAUGUAUAAUAUUACUGCAUUAUUAUUAUUAUUAAGAUAUUAUAUUAUUAAAAUAUAAAACACUAUACUUUAUGAUGAGUCUACAGCUCAGAUUAUCAUUGUAGCAAAUAUUUAUUGUGAGCAUCGUGAAAUUUGCUAUAGGCAUUCUUUCAUAGCCGUAUCACACAAUAUAGCACAACGAUGAUAUUCACAAUUUGUCAGCCACGUUUUUAGCAGACAAUGCGCAGGCUCUACGAUUUUGGAAAGAAAGAUAGGCGAAGGAUUACUCGCGAUUCUGCAUGCUGUUGCUUUUGGUUGACUGUGAGUGACAAACGUCUCUUGACCUCGUGAUUUACUCAGGCAUGUGCGAUUAGACGAGGAAUUUAGUCACAUCAAACUCGAGUUUUCUUAGGGAAAGAAGUCUAUCAGAACUUGAUCAGUACGUAUAAUAAUUAUUGAUAAGAUUUGCGGAGAAGCCUAUGUUACAUUGGUCAAACGUAACUGCUGGAAGUUGAAUCAAGACAACACACGAGAAGAUGGGUUUCCAAAUAAGUUUCUUAUUUAUACUUGUUGCCUUCAGCAUGUUUAGCAUGGUAUACCUACGUAAUUCAAAAAAGAAAACCCCAAUAAAUGACCUAUUGCGUCCGUACCAAAAGUUGAUGCUGCGUGAUGGUAGACCUACUUAUUGUGAUAUGAGAUAUGACGACGGUAGGUGCUGUGAUAGAAAAUAUCCCAAUGGUACCUGCUACAAAAAGUCGCAGAAAAAACUUUACGUAGAUGAUUAUGAAUUCAGAUAUUGGUAUAACGUAAAUUCUAGAACAUGUGACCUUUUUCUGUGGACAAAGUGCAGUAAUAAUGGAAAUAAUUUUGUAAACUGGCGAAAUUGCAUGGAUGUGUGCCAUCAUAGCAUAAUAAUUGUGGAUACAUCUUAGAUAGAAGUACUAAAUGAGAGAAUCUGUGAAGUUUUCAUAAAAUACUUGUAAAAGUGUUUUAUUUUUACAAUUAAUGACUGUAAUAAAAUGAAAUGUA